GCUGCCGGCUUCUUCUGCUCCUGGACGGCCACAGUGGCGCCCUCUUUCGGCGUCUCCAGCCCUGUAAUGUAGUUUGGACCUCUCGUUUUGGAAAGCAGUGGGCCAGCGGGAGAACGCGGGAUGGGAGCGCAGCGCUCCUGGGGUCUUUGUGCACCCCAGUGUGGGUGACUGCGGGUGGAGACGUCCCAUGGUGGGAGCUCCCGGCGGGUCCCAUCUAACCCCUUCAGGGCGUGCGCUCCGAGCCCGCGGGCUGGCAGGGCCGCGGGUCCCCAUCCCGGCCUUAUUCUGCUCCUGUUAGUUGGGGACCUUGAAUCAGCCCGCCGGCGGUAGGAACUGAAAGCCAGAAGACGCAAACAGGGAUUGCACAGAGAGAAGCAGUAGCACCCCAGGUACCUGACCUUUCGCAUGCUUUCCCAAGGCCUGACGGGCUCUCCCUUCCUCUAGCACCAGGCUGUGAGAUUUGAGAAAGUAUAUUUAGGAGCCUGGAGGCAGGCACAUCGGAACCGGUCCUCUUUCAGCCCUGCCUGAUCUACAAUUUGUUUACCUCUUCUGACAGCUGCAGAACAUGAACACGGUUCAGGUGUCAGUGGCUUUGGAGGACGUGACUGUCAUGCUCAGCCAGGAGGAGUGGCGGCACAUGGGCCCGCCCAGAGGACCCUGUACAGAGAUGUGAUGCUGGAGAUCUACAGCCACCUUGUCUCCGUGGGCUAUUGCUUUUCAAAAGCAGAACUGAUCUUCACAUUGUCACAAGGAGAAGAUCCAUGGCCAUUGGAGAAAGGGAAAAGAUGUCUAAGCAGAAAUU